CCUACGGGAGGCAGCAGUGGGGAAUAUUGCACAAUGGGGGAAACCCUGAUGCAGCGACGCCGCGUGAGUGAAGACGUAAUUCGUUAUGUAAAGCUCUAUCAGCAGGGAAGAAAAUGACGGUACCUGUGUAAGAAGCCCCGGCUAACUACGUGCCAGCAGCCGCGGUAAUACGUAGGGGGCAAGCGUUAUUCGGAUUUACGCGGGGUAAAGGGAGCGUAGACGGCAGUGAAAGUCUGGAGUGAAAGGCGGGGGCUCAACCCCCGGACUGCUCUGGAAACUGUACGGCUGGAGUGCAGGAGAGGUAAGUGGAAUUCCUAGUGUAGCGGUGAAAUGCGUAGAUAUUAGGAGGAACACCAGUGGCGAAGGCGGCUUACUGGACUGUAACUGACGUUGAGGCUCGAAAGCGUGGGGAGCAAACAGGAUUAGAUACCCGAGUAGUC
rnacentral:rRNA from 1 species